UUUUGCUGCGGUAAUCCGUUCUCAGGCACCCAAAACAAAGCUCUGAAUAGCUUUUCGGACAGGUUCUGCGGGGCGGAGCUGCGGCGUCAAGAUGGCAGCGCCCGAGGAGGUAGUUUUCCCGCAGAAACCUAGUCACAAAAUGUACCGGGCUGCUCUGAAGAAGGAGAAAAGAAAGAAACGUCGGCAGGAACUCGCUCGAUUGAGAGACUCAGGACUCUCACAGGAGGAGGAGGAAGAUGCUUUUAGUGAAGAACAACAACUAGAAGAAAAAUUGUUGGAGAGAGAGAGGCAAAAAUUGCAUGAGGAGUGGUUGCUGAGGGAACAGAAGGCACAAGAAGAAUUCAGAAUAAAAAAGGAAAAGGAAGAGGCAGCUAGGAAACGUCGGGGAGAGCAAGAGAGAAAGUUAAAGGAAGAAUGGGAAGAACAGCAGAGAAAAGAGAGAGAAGAGGAGCAGCAAAAACUACAGGAGAAGAGAGAAAGAGAGGAAGCCGUGCAGAAGAUGCUGGAUGGGGCUGAAAAUGAGUUGGAAAAUGGUGCUGCUACGUGGCAAAACCCAGAACCACCCGUGGAUUUAAGAAUAAUGGAGAAGGAUCGAGCUAAUUGUCCAUUCUACAGUAAAACGGGAGCUUGCAGAUUUGGAGACAGGUGUUCACGUAAACAUAAUUUUCCAACAUCAAGCCCCACCCUUCUUAUUAGAAGCAUGUUUACAACAUUUGGAAUGGAACAGUGCAGGAGAGACGACUAUGACCCUGAUGCAAGCCUGGAGUACAGUGAAGAGGAAACCUACCAGCAGUUCCUAGAUUUCUAUGAUGAUGUGCUCCCCGAGUUUAAGAAUGUGGGGAAAGUCAUUCAGUUCAAGGUCAGCUGCAACUGGGAGCCUCACCUGAGGGGUAACGUGUAUGUUCAGUACCAGACCGAAGAAGAAUGCCAAACUGCCUUUUCUCUGUUUAAUGGACGAUGGUAUGCAGGACGACAGCUUCAGUGCGAAUUCUGCCCAGUGACCCGGUGGAAAAUGGCGAUUUGUGGUUUAUUUGAAAUACAACAGUGUCCAAGAGGAAAACACUGCAACUUUCUUCAUGUGUUCAGAAAUCCCAAUAAUGAGUUUUGGGAAGCUAACAGAGACAUCUACCUGUCUCCAGAUAGGACUGGCUCUUCAUUUGGUAAGAACUUGGAGAGGAGAGAGAGGACAGGCCACCAUGACGAAUACUAUGGCAGGCUAAGGAGGAGAAGUCCCAGUCCAGACCGUUCCUAUAAGAGAAAUGGGGAAUCUGAGAGGAAAAGGAGGAGUCACAGGGAGAAGAAAUCUCACAAACACACAUCGAAGAGUUGUGAAAGGCACAGUUCUGGAAAUAGAGGAAGAAAAAGGGACCACAGCACGGCCAGGGGCAGCAGGAGGAGCAGGAGCCAGAGCCAGAGCCGCAGGAGCCGCAGGAGCCACAGGAGCCACAGGAACCACAGGAGCCACAGGAGCCGGAGCAGAAGCCAGAGCUCAUCUAGAUCCAGGAGCCAUGGCCCUAGGAGGUCAAGCAGUAGAGACAGAACUACACAGAGCCCCAAAUCCAAAUAAACUUGUUUUGUUCUUUAAAAAAAAAAAAAAUUGCUCAGAAUAUAGAGCUAUUUGUUCAAUUUCAGUAAUUUUGUGAGCUAG